rnacentral:rRNA from 1 species
GACGAACGCUGGCGGCGUGCUUAACACAUGCAAGUCGAGCGGUAAGGCCCUUUCGGGGGUACACGAGCGGCGAACGGGUGAGUAACACGUGGGUGACCUGCCCUCAGCUCUGGGAUAAGCCCGGGAAACUGGGUCUAAUACCGGAUAUGACUCCAUGACGCAUGUUGUGGGGUGGAAAGCCUUGUGCGGCUGAGGAUGGGCCCGCGGCCUAUCAGCUUGUUGGUGGGGUGAUGGCCUACCAAGGCGACGACGGGUAGCCGGCCUGAGAGGGCGACCGGCCACACUGGGACUGAGACACGGCCCAGACUCCUACGGGAGGCAGCAGUGGGGAAUCUUGCGCAAUGGGCGAAAGCCUGACGCAGCGACGCCGCGUGAGGGAUGACGGCCUUCGGGUUGUAAACCUCUUUCAGCUCCGACGAAGCGGAAGUGACGGUAGGAGCAGAAGAAGCACCGGCCAACUACGUGCCAGCAGCCGCGGUAAUACGUAGGGUGCAAGCGUUGUCCGGAAUUAUUGGGCGUAAAGAGCUCGUAGGCGGUCUGUCGCGUCGGCUGUGAAAACUCGGGGCUCAACUCCGAGCUUGCAGUCGAUACGGGCAGGCUAGAGUUCGGCAGGGGAGACUGGAAUUCUUGGUGUAGCGGUGAAAUGCGCAGAUAUCAGGAGGAACACCGGUGGCGAAGGCGGGUCUCUGGGCCGAUACUGACGCUGAGGAGCGAAAGCGUGGGGAGCGAACAGGAUUAGAUACCCUGGUAGUCCACGCCGUAAACGUUGGGCGCUAGGUGUGGGAUCCCUUCCACGGGUUCCGUGCCGCAGCUAACGCAUUAAGCGCCCCGCCUGGGGAGUACGGCCGCAAGGCUAAAACUCAAAUGAAUUGACGGGG